UACGAAGGGGGGCUAGCGUUGCUCGGAAUGACUGGGCGUAAAGGGCGCGUAGGCGGACGGCUUUGUCGGGCGUGAAAAUUCCAGGGCUUAACCUUGGGGGGUGCGUUCGAGACGGGUUGUCUUGAGUGGGGAAGAGGGUCGUGGAAUUCCCAGUGUAGAGGUGAAAUUCGUAGAUAUUGGGAAGAACACCGGUGGCGAAGGCGGCGACCUGGUCCUUUACUGACGCUGGAGGCGCGGAAAGCGUGGGGAGCAAACAGG
rnacentral:rRNA from 1 species